UACGAAGGGGGCUAGCGUUGUUCGGAAUCACUGGGCGUAAAGGGUGCGUAGGCGGUUCUUUAAGUCAGGGGUGAAAUCCUGGAGCUCAACUCCAGAACUGCCUUUGAUACUGAGGAUCUUGAGGCCGGGAGAGGUGAGUGGAACUGCGAGUGUAGAGGUGAAAUUCGUAGAUAUUCGCAAGAACACCAGUGGCGAAGGCGGCUCACUGGCCCGGUACUGACGCUGAGGCACGAAAGCGUGGGGAGCAAACAGG
rnacentral:rRNA from 1 species